GCCUGGGUGGCUCGGUCGGUUGGGCACCCGACUUCGGCUCGGGUCACGAUCUCACCGCUUGUGAGUUCGAGCCCCGCAUCGGGCU
rnacentral:tRNA from 1 species